AGUGAACGCUGGCGGUAGGCCUAACACAUGCAAGUCGAACGGCAGCACAGUAAGAGCUUGCUCUUACGGGUGGCGAGUGGCGGACGGGUGAGGAAUACAUCGGAAUCUACUUUUUCGUGGGGGAUAACGUAGGGAAACUUACGCUAAUACCGCAUACGACCUACGGGUGAAAGCAGGGGAUCUUCGGACCUUGCGCGAUUGAAUGAGCCGAUGUCGGAUUAGCUAGUUGGCGGGGUAAAGGCCCACCAAGGCGACGAUCCGUAGCUGGUCUGAGAGGAUGAUCAGCCACACUGGAACUGAGACACGGUCCAGACACCUACGGGAGGCAGCAGUGGGGAAUAUUGGACGAUGGGCGAAAGCCUGAUCCAGCCAUACCGCGUGGGUGAAGAAGGCCUUCGGGUUGUAAAGCCCUUUUGUUGGGAAAGAAAAGCAGCAGGUUAAUACCCCGCUGUUCUGACGGUACCCAAAGAAUAAGCACCGGCUAACUUCGUG
rnacentral:rRNA from 1 species